CUCAGGAUGCCUGCAUUCCAUCAGAGAUCAAGCCAAUGGAUCUCAAUCAUCAGUUCCAACUUUAAGAUUCCAUGUUUCUUUCUGAGGUCUUGAUCAAAUGUGCAAGGUCCUAGCAUCAAUGAUACGAUUAAAUUCUCUGAAGCUUGGUGUGCUAUUGAGCAGGGCCAUCCCCAUUGUUGCAUGCCUGGGUGUGCCCACGUGAGAAGUGCAACAUGAAGCAUUAAAAUGAUGGGAGAUGCAGACUUCAAGGGAAGAAGAAGAGCUAAAUAGUGCUCUUUGUUUUCCAAGCACAUGGUGCCAAGGUGCACAAUGGGGCAUUGCUGCACAGAGGCAAAGUCACACAUCCCUCAAGUGUCAGCUGAGAUUACCAGGGAAACCAGGACCUGCUGAUGGGGAUUAAUGAGCCCGCCAGAAUGUCCAGGCUGGAUCAUAAUUGCAGCCCUCAUUUUCCAGAUGGGAAAUAGAAUCCCAGAGAUAAUGAGUGACCUGCAGGAAGUUAUAUAGCAUAAGAGACAGAGUCAGGAAUGCAACCAUGAACUCUUGCUUCAGACCCCCAGUGUUGUUUUCCAAA